AGCGAACGCUGGCGGCAGGCUUAACACAUGCAAGUCGAGCGGGCACUUUCGGGUGUCAGCGGCGGACGGGUGAGUAACGCGUGGGAACGUGCCCUCUGGUUCGGAAUAACUCAGGGAAACUUGAGCUAAUACCGGAUACGCCCUUUUGGGGAAAGGCUUGCUGCCGGAGGAUCGGCCCGCGUCUGAUUAGCUAGUUGGUGAGGUAACGGCUCACCAAGGCGACGAUCAGUAGCUGGUCUGAGAGGAUGAUCAGCCACACUGGGACUGAGACACGGCCCAGACCCCUACGGGAGGCAGAAGUGGGGAAUUUUGAAAAGUGGGCGCAAGCCUAAUCCAGCCAUGCCGGGUGAGUGAUGAAGGCCUUAGGGUUUAAAAGCUUUUUUACCCGGGACGAUAAUGACGGUACCGGGGGAAUAAGCCCCGGCUAACUUCGU
rnacentral:rRNA from 1 species